AGAGUUUGAUCAUGGCUCAGAGUGAACGCUGGCGGUAGGCCUAACACAUGCAAGUCGAACGGCAGCACAGUAAGAGCUUGCUCUUAUGGGUGGCGAGUGGCGGACGGGUGAGGAAUACAUCGGAAUCUACCUUUUCGUGGGGGAUAACGUAGGGAAACUUACGCUAAUACCGCAUACGACCUUCGGGUGAAAGCAGGGGACCUUCGGGCCUUGCGCGGAUAGAUGAGCCGAUGUCGGAUUAGCUAGUUGGCGGGGUAAAGGCCCACCAAGGCGACGAUCCGUAGCUGGUCUGAGAGGAUGAUCAGCCCCACUGGAACCGAGACACGGUCCAGACUCCUACGGGAGGCAGCAAGGGCGAAUUUUGCCAGAGUUCCAUCUCUGUGCCGGCCUCCUCGAUCCUCCUUCUCGUCGUGUGUUCCAUGGUCAACAGCAGUAGUGUCCAUUGAUAUCUCGGAUUCACG
rnacentral:rRNA from 1 species